CUUUACGAUUUUUUGCCAGAUCGAUUUUUUAGUACCCGCAUAUCGACAGGAAGUCUAUUUUAUGCUGAUAUUGAUGAACAAAAAGUAUCAGAGAAAUCAGAUGUUUAUUUUUUUGGCAUCAUACUUUUGGAACUAAUUUCUGGAAGAGAAUAUAUAGUUAAUGGCUUCCCCAUUUUUUCUUGGG